CCUUUUUCUCUGCUUUGUUUCAAUAAAACUUUAUUGUUGGACGAGCGCUAGACGCUAAACGCAAAGGGAGGCCCUGGUCUCAGGCAGGUACCGGGUGCUUCUAGGAAGUGACUGCUCUAAGCUGCCUGAGAUCUGGAGAUCCAGGCUGCACGGGUGCCUGAGGAGAGAGGAAAGCUGUAAUGGAGAGACAGAGAGAGAAGAAAAAAAACGGUGGGGGCAUGAGGAGGAGAGGACGGAGACAAUAAUCAGUAAUAGUUUAGCAGCAGAGAUCACGUGGGUAGUUCACUCAUUUUUUUGAGGAGCAAGGGAAAAGAAGUGGAAAAGAUGGAAAAGUUGAGGCCCAGGGAAGUUAAAUAAUUUACAAGUAAUGGAAUGAGAGAAAGUGGGAAAAGACAACACAAAUGAAGAUGAAAUCAGAGGACUGGUAGACUGCUGGAGCUGAAGGGACUUUAAGCUCAAAGUUUAUGGAACACGUGGCUUGGUUUAUGAUAGAAAAUGAGAAGCAGAAACAAAGGAGAGAGAGAAGAAGAAAAAGGAGGAAGAAGAGGCAGAGGAGGAGAAAGAGAAGAAGAAAUGGAUGGAAGAGAUGACAGUAUAAGAGAGGAGAAGGGAUCAAAGGCAUAAUAAAAUAUCCAAAGUUUGAAGGAACCAAAGAAUGAAUACAAUCUUAUCAAUUUAAAGAGGGAAGUAAAAAUAAAAAUAUGAGGAAACAAUGAGAAAAGAGCCGA